UCAUCCCCCCCCCCCUGAGGGUCUAGAGUGGCCCCAAGCAGGUGUAAGGCCCGGACAUUGGUGGUGGCUUGGUCACACACAAUUGCCUGAACCUAACAUGUAGAAAAGUAUCAAUGCAUGGCCUAUAGCCUGCAGGUGGUGAAUGGCUCCCCUGAUGGUGUCUGCAAUCUCCUCCGACAGCAUGGAGCUGGAGGAAAAGAAGUAUCCAAUUGGCUGGAAGACAUUGGGAAAGUGCUUGUUAGAGAAGUAUCCGACUCGUGCCGUAACGAAUCUGUGAAGAGUUGUAGCUGGGCCCGGAUGAAAUCACGGCACUUUUCUGAGCAGUUGGGCAGGAUCUCUUUAAGGCUACAUGGGGAGAAAAUGUUAAGUCCAAAAAACAAAGGAGGAGAGGCAAGCAGUGGUGGGUUUCCACAGUUCACCAAUGUGGGGAUGGCUUCUUGUGUGAGUGCUUUUCUUCCAUUAGACUAGUACAGAACAUGAAGGACAUCGUCAAG